rnacentral:rRNA from 1 species
GACGUAGGGCGCAAGCGUUGUCCGGAUUUAUUGGGCGUAAAGAGCUCGUAGGCGGCUCGUUGCGUCGGCUGUGAAAACCCGCAGCUCAACUGUGGGCUUGCAGCCGAUACGGGCGGGCUGGAGUUCGGUAGGGGAGACUGGAAUUCCUGGUGUAGCGGUGAAAUUCGUAGAUAUUGGCUGGAACACCGGUGGCGAAAGCGGCUCUCUGGCCCGGUUCUGACGCUGAGGCGCGAAAGCGUGGGGAGCAAACAGG